rnacentral:rRNA from 1 species
AUUGAACGCUGGCGGCAUGCUUUACACAUGCAAGUCGAACGGCAGCGCGGGCUUCGGCCUGGCGGCGAGUGGCGAACGGGUGAGUAAUAUAUCGGAACGUACCCAAGAGUGGGGGAUAACGUAGCGAAAGUUACGCUAAUACCGCAUACGAUCUAAGGAUGAAAGCAGGGGACCGCAAGGCCUUGUGCUCCUGGAGCGGCCGAUAUCUGAUUAGCUAGUUGGUGAGGUAAAGGCUCACCAAGGCAACGAUCAGUAGCUGGUCUGAGAGGACGACCAGCCGCACUGGAACUGAGACACGGUCCAGACUCCUACGGGAGGCAGCAGUGGGGAAUUUUGGACAAUGGGGGCAACCCUGAUCCAGCAAUGCCGCGUGAGUGAAGAAGGCCUUCGGGUUGUAAAGCUCUUUUGUCAGGGAAGAAAAGGUCGUGGCUAAUAUCCGCGACUGCUGACGGUACCUGAAGAAUAAGCACCGGCUAACUACGUGCCAGCCGCCGCCGUAACAC